GAUGAACGCUGGCGGCGUGCUUAACACAUGCAAGUCGAACGAUGAAGCCCAGCUUGCUGGGUGGAUUAGUGGCGAACGGGUGAGUAACACGUGAGUAACCUGCCCUUAACUCUGGGAUAAGCCUGGGAAACUAGGUCUAAUACCGGAUAGGAGCGCCUACCGCAUGGUGGGUGUUGGAAAGAUUUAUCGGUUUUGGAUGGACUCGCGGCCUAUCAGCUUGUUGGUGAGGUAAUGGCUCACCAAGGCGACGACGGGUAGCCGGCCUGAGAGGGUGACCGGCCACACUGGGACUGAGACACGGCCCAGACUCCUACGGGAGGCAGCAGUGGGGAAUAUUGCACAAUGGGCGAAAGCCUGAUGCAGCGACGCCGCGUGAGGGAUGACGGCCUUCGGGUUGUAAACCUCUUUCAGUAGGGAGGAAGCGAAAGUGACGGUACCUGCAGAAGAAGCACCGGCUAACUACGUGCCAGCCGCCGCGGUAACAC
rnacentral:rRNA from 1 species